rnacentral:rRNA from 1 species
AGAGUUUGAUUAUGGCUCAGGAUGAACGCUAGCUACAGGCUUAACACAUGCAAGUCGAGGGGCAGCAUUGGAGUAGCAAUACUUCAGAUGGCGACCGGCGCACGGGUGAGUAACACGUAUCCAACCUGCCGCUUACUCGGGGAUAGCCUUUCGAAAGAAAGAUUAAUACCCGAUGGUAUAAAGAGUUCGCAUGUUCUCUUUAUUAAAGAAUUUCGGUAAGCGAUGGGGAUGCGUUCCAUUAGAUAGUUGGCGGGUAACGGCCCACCAAGUCUACGAUGGAUAGGGGUUCUGAGAGGAAGGUCCCCCACAUUGGAACUGAGACACGGUCCAAACUCCUACGGGAGGCAGCAGUGAGGAAUAUUGGUCAAUGGACGAGAGUCUGAACCAGCCAAAAGUAGCGUGAAGGAUGACUGCCCUAUGGGUUGUAAACUUCUUUUAUAAGGGAAUAAAGUGAGGGACGUGUCCCUUUUUGUAUGUACCUUAUGAAUAAGGAUCGGCUAACUCCGUGCCAGCCGCCGC